CCUACGGGAGGCAGCAGUGGGGGAUAUUGCACAAUGGGGGGAACCCUGAUGCAGCGACGCCGCGUGGGUGAAGAAGCGCCUCGGCGCGUAAAGCCCUGUCAGCAGGGAAGAAAAUGACGGUACCUGAAGAAGAAGCCCCGGCUAACUACGUGCCAGCAGCCGCGGUAAUACGUAGGGGGCAAGCGUUAUCCGGAUUUACUGGGUGUAACGGGGGCGCAGACGGCGAUGCAAGCCAGGAGUGAAAGCCCGGGGCCCAACCCCGGGACUGCUCUUGGAACUGCGUGGCUGGAGUGCAGGAGGGGCAGGCGGAAUUGCUGGUGUAGCGGUGAAAUGCGUAGAUAUCAGGAGGAACACCGGUGGCGAAGGCGGCCUGCUGGACUGCAACUGACGUUGAGGCCCGAAAGCGUGGGGAGCAAACAGGAUUAGAUACCCCGGUAGUC
rnacentral:rRNA from 1 species